rnacentral:rRNA from 1 species
CGGACGGGUGAGUAACGCGUGGGUAACCUGCCUUAUACAGGGGGAUAACAGUCAGAAAUGGCUGCUAAUACCGCAUAAGCGCACAGAGCUGCAUGGCUCGGUGUGAAAAACUCCGGUGGUAUAAGAUGGACCCGCGUUGGAUUAGCUUGUUGGUGGGGUAACGGCCCACCAAGGCGACGAUGCGUAGCCGACCUGAGAGGGUGACCGGCCACACUGGGACUGAGACACGGCCCAGACUCCUACGGGAGGCAGCAUG